GCGGCAGCUGCUGGGCGAAGCCGGCCACCUUCUCCGGGCGCUUUCAGCCGCCCACGCCCGCUCUUCCGGCCGCGCCAGACAAUCGGGCCCUUUCUCUGCCCAAUUAGCUAUCACUUCUGGAGGCCGGCGCUGUCCAGCGGCCGCGGGCCCGCGGCGGCGGCAGCAGGCCGGGCGGGAGGGGCCGGGCGGCCCGGCGGGAGGGCCGGCGGGAGCUGUGCGGAUGAAAGGGGAGCAGAGGGGCGCGAAGGUGAGACCCGGCGCCCCGCGCCCACAGGCGACCCCGGCGAGCUCAAUUAGCGCACGGGCCGCCAGCGCCUCAAAGGCCGCCCGCCCGCCGCCCGCCGCCCGCCGCCCGCGGGGGUGGGCAGCGCGGGCUGGCGGGGGCGGGGACGGCGCGGGCGGCUCCGGAGGGGAACCUGCUUAAUCACCCAGGAAGGCCCGGGCCGGUCCCCAGAUCACCCCCCAGCGGCCCACCGAGGGCCUUGGACGCCGCCCGCAGCCCGGGCUGGACGGUCGGCCUGCGGCCCCCCCCUCACACUGUGCAGGGCCUCCGUCCAGGGCCCACCGCAGACAUGGAGUGACCGAGCUCAGUGCUCAUCCUCCUGGUGCAAAGCUUAUCGGAAACGGGGGCGAGUGACAGUUCUGCCUUGAAGGGCCAUGGGGAGGCCCAAGGGACAGUGUCCACACAGGACCAGCAAGGGCCCUGGGCGUGGAAUCACUGGCUGCGCUCUUGUCCCCGAAGAGGACCCGGGCAGAAAUGUCUCCACCACGCGGCUGGAGUGACCGCACCCUCGUCCCGCCUUUCUCUGCCUGCUGCGUGCUCAUGUGCACACACGAACACACACAGAGUCCCCAGGCCGGAGCGAGACAAAGUGAACCCCUCUUGGAUCGUGGGGGCUGCAGAGACCUGCCUGCAAAAGAAGCGAUUACGUCUCGAUUUCCUCUGCUGUGAAGCUACAGUUGAGUCUUUGGCUUACAGGGCUGUUGGUCUCUCUCGAUGAUUUUCCAGGCGGGAUUCUUUACCAGCUGAGAGCCUGUGCUCCACUACAGAAGACGUCACCAAGGAAGACGCUCCUACACUGAAACUAGAGAGUGGUCCCCACUUGCUGCAGCGAGAGACAAGCCUGCGCAUCAGCUAAGACCCAGCACAGCCAAAGUACCUAAAUAAAAUACUUUUUUAAAACCUGA
ensembl:lncRNA